UACGUAGGGGGCAAGCGUUGUCCGGAAUCAUUGGGCGUAAAGCGCGUGUAGGCGGCUCGAUAAGUCUGCUGUGAAAGUCCAGGGCUCAACCCUGGAAUGCCGGUGGAAACUGUCGAGCUAGAGUCCGGAAGAGGCGAGUGGAAUUCCCGGUGUAGCGGUGAAAUGCGCAGAUAUCGGGAAGAACACCCGUGGCGAAGGCGGCUCUCUGGGACGGUACUGACGCUGAGACGCGAAAGCGUGGGGGAGCGAACGAG
rnacentral:rRNA from 1 species